GGAGUGUCAAAGGGGCGGACCCUUGGAAUAAGAGCAAAUGCCCGGGGUAAGGCUAUGCUGGACAGGGUUUGAAAGAGGAGGAGCUAUAUGGGGGAGGGCUCGAAAGGGCAGGACCCCAUGGGAGGUGAUGGGGAAGGCUCGAAAGGUGCGGGUCCCAGGAAGGGAAAUUUACUCUUGGGGGGGGGACCUGAUGGUGCCGGAUUCUUAAGGGGCGGGGCCUGGGCGGAGUUGAGGAGUGUGAGCUUUCUCAAGGGGCGGGGCUGUUGGUGGGAGGCUCUAAAUGAGACUGGGCUAGGACCUGGAGAUUUCUGAAGGGCGGGACAGGAAAGGGGAUCUAGAGGGGAAAAGCCCGAGAGAAGCCGACUGAGGGGAUGGUUCGGGGCCCGGAGAGAAGGCUGAACCGAGACGUUCCGAAGGGGGAGGGGCCGAAAGUUAUUUGUCCGCUCUGGCCGUUCCUCUUCCCUCCUCUCCUCGGGGCUUGGUGUGAGCUCACACCUGAUCGGGAGCCCAAGUCCCACCCGGGAGCCGGUGAGUGUUUGCGGGAGGGGCGGGACCUGGGUAGAGGGUUACAGGUGGUGAGGAGAACUACAGCUAGGGAAAGAGGUACCCAUUUGGGGCGUGGCUUGACUCAAGGGGAGGAGUUGCAGGUUUCAAGACAAGGUCCCGCAGAGGGUGGGCUUGGAGAUCCUUAGACUUGAGCGUGGGUGAAAGAAACAAGGGUAUCUCUCUGGCGGCUUGACUCGGAUUGGGGGGAGGGGUCAAUACGGAGGGGGCGGAGUCAUAGAUCUAGGGGCGGGGCGAUGGCUUCUGCUGACCCCAGACUCCUCUGACCUUGGUUUCCCGGGGUUGGUUGUAUUGCCUGCAGCCUCCCCCUCCCCCCCGGGCUGGGAAUGGGCAACGUGCAGUCUGAGCCACCCGGCUCAGAGCCCGGCAA
rnacentral:lncRNA from 1 species